UUGAACGCUGGCGGCAGGCCUAACACAUGCAAGUCGAACGGUAACAGGAAGAAGCUUGCUUCUUUGCUGACGAGUGGCGGACGGGUGAGUAAUGUCUGGGAAACUGCCUGAUGGAGGGGGAUAACUACUGGAAACGGUAGCUAAUACCGCAUAACGUCGCAAGACCAAAGAGGGGGACCUUCGGGCCUCUUGCCAUCGGAUGUGCCCAGAUGGGAUUAGCUAGUAGGUGGGGUAACGGCUCACCUAGGCGACGAUCCCUAGCUGGUCUGAGAGGAUGACCAGCCACACUGGAACUGAGACACGGUCCAGACUCCUACGGGAGGCAGCAGUGGGGAAUAUUGCACAAUGGGCGCAAGCCUGAUGCAGCCAUGCCGCGUGUAUGAAGAAGGCCUUCGGGUUGUAAAGUACUUUCAGCGGGGAGGAAGGGAGUAAAGUUAAUACCUUUGCUCAUUGACGUUACCCGCAGAAGAAGCACCGGCUAACUCCGUGCCAGCAGCCGCGGUAAUACGGAGGGUGCAAGCGUUAAUCGGAAUUACUGGGCGUAAAGCGCACGCAGGCGGUUUGUUAAGUCAGAUGUGAAAUCCCCGGGCUCAACCUGGGAACUGCAUCUGAUACUGGCAAGCUUGAGUCUCGUAGAGGGGGGUAGAAUUCCAGGUGUAGCGGUGAAAUGCGUAGAGAUCUGGAGGAAUACCGGUGGCGAAGGCGGCCCCCUGGACGAAGACUGACGCUCAGGUGCGAAAGCGUGGGGAGCAAACAGGAUUAGAUACCCUGGUAGUCCACGCCGUAAACGAUGUCGACUUGGAGGUUGUGCCCUUGAGGCGUGGCUUCCGGAGCUAACGCGUUAAGUCGACCGCCUGGGGAGUACGGCCGCAAGGUUAAAACUCAAAUGAAUUGACGGGGGCCCGCACAAGCGGUGGAGCAUGUGGUUUAAUUCGAUGCAACGCGAAGAACCUUACCUGGUCUUGACAUCCACGGAAGUUUUCAGAGAUGAGAAUGUGCCUUCGGGAACCGUGAGACAGGUGCUGCAUGGCUGUCGUCAGCUCGUGUUGUGAAAUGUUGGGUUAAGUCCCGCAACGAGCGCAACCCUUAUCCUUUGUUGCCAGCGGUCCGGCCGGGAACUCAAGGGAGACUGCCAGUGAUAAACUGGAGGAAGGUGAGGAUGACGUCAAGUCAUCAUGGCCCUUACGACCAGGGCUACACACGUGCUACAAUGGCGCAUACAAAGAGAAGCGACCUCGCGAGAGCAAGCGGACCUCAUAAAGUGCGUCGUAGUCCGGAUUGGAGUCUGCAACUCGACUCCAUGAAGUCGGAAUCGCUAGUAAUCGUGGAUCAGAAUGCCACGGUGAAUACGUUCCCGGGCCUUGUACACACCGCCCGUCACACCAUGGGAGUGGGUUGCAAAAGAAGUAGGUAGCUUAACCUUCGGGAGGGCGCUUACCACUUUGUGAUUCAUGACUGGGGUG
rnacentral:rRNA from 1 species